UUUAAUGGCCGCAGUAAUUUGACUGUGCAAAGGUAGCAUAAUCAUUAGUUUUUUAAUUAAAAGCUUGAAUGAAUGAUUGGACGAAAUAAAGUCUGUCUUUAUAUUAAAUAUAGAACUUAAUUUUUAAGUAAAAAAGCUUAAAUAUUAGUAAAAGACGAGAAGACCCUAUAGAUCUUUAUACAAUAUAGUUUAUUUUUAAUUAAGAUUAUUUAAUGAAUUAGAUUUUAUUGUAUUUUAUUGGGGUAAUAAAAAGAUUAAUUAAAUUCUUUAUUUAUUUCACAAAAAUUCUUGAAUUAAUGAUCCUUUAUUAUGGAUUUAAGAUUAAGUUACCUUAGGGAUAACAGCGUAAUUUUUUUAGAGAGUUCUUAUCGAUAAAAAAGUUUGCGACCUCGAUGUUGGAUUAAAAAUUAAUUUUAGGUGUAGUAGUUUAAAAUUUUGGUCUGUUCGACCAUUGAAUUUUUACAUGAUCUGAGUUCAGACCGGUGUAAGCCAGGUCGGUUUCUAUCUUUAUUUAAUUAAAAUAUUUUAGUACGAAAGGACCAAAUAUUAAUUAUAAUUAUAUUUAUUUAUUUUGAAUAUUAUUAUUAUUUUGGCAGAUUAGUGUGUUGAAUUUAGAAUUCAUAAAUGUAAUAUUUAUUACAAAUAAUAUUGUUUAUUUUAGAUUUAUUAAUUCCAUUUAUUUGUAUAUUAUUAUUAGUAAUUUGUGUGCUUUUAGGGGUCGCUUUUUUAACUUUU
rnacentral:rRNA from 1 species